CAAUAGUGUAUCUUAACGUUGUUGCAGUUAAAAAGCUCGUAGUUGAAUUUCUGGGGGGGUGUUUCAAGGUACGUCCUGAUUCUGCCCUCUCAUCCGCUUUGGAACCAGGAGGGGUAUUUAGUUAUCGGCCUGGGGAAGGGGCAUUUUACUUUGAAGAAAUUAGAGUGUUCCAGGCAGGCUUUGCUUGAAUACAUCAGCAUGGAAUAAUGGAAUAGGACAAUGUUCAUUUUAUUGGCUAUUGAACUUGUAAUGAUUAACAGGGACAGUUGGGGGCAUUCGUAUUCUGUUGUCAGAGGUGGAAUUCUUGGAUUAACUGAAGACGAACUAAUGCGAAAGCAUUUGCCAAGGAUGUUUUCAUUAA
rnacentral:rRNA from 1 species